CACGGAUCUGAAAGCGUCCCAGGGAGAAGAAGAACGAAACACUCCCCUAACCCUCACGUAAAUUUCGAACUCCCGUAACUUCUCCGUCCGAACUCCAAUCGCCGUAUUGUUUGCGGCCACGCGUUCACUGCGUCGAGCUCUACGUUUCUAUAGAAAAAAUUUCAUAGGAUCCAAUUAGCUUGAGGAAAACGUUCACUCUUGCUUAUGUGAAGCUUGGAUAAGAUGCAGGUCGAGAGACAUCUCAUUAGGCGUUUGGACUCUUGAAGCGGAGUGGUUACUGGGUAGUUUUGCUGUACAGUGAUGUAUAUAUGUGUACUUAGUUUUCUCUCCGCAUAACUUAUUCUUUUUUAUUCUCUUAGAGGUUUAUGGAGAGGCAGGACUGUGUAUAUGAACUUUUGGAUUUUGGAUAUGUAUGUAUAUAUGCGUAA